CGUUUUUUGUGUCGGCUUCAAACUCGCACAGGAGAGAGAGGGAACCCUUCUGAUUAAAAGUUGCGAAAAGAGUUUUAAUAACUGCUCCGUACCUGCCGUGAUGUGCAGAGAUAAGGGAACCUCCAAACGUUGCCCAAACCCACAGCAGAGCCGAUGCCCGCCAGAGUGAACUCGAUCUGCCUGCUCCAUGUCGGCCUGCUGCUCGCUAGCUUUUCCAUUUCUGCUACUUCGCGUCCUUUGUCCAUGCUUUGGCUGUUCUGGGCCCAAACUGCACGGAAAAGGGGUUGGUAAUGUAAGUGACCGUGGGUGGUAUAACAUUUUUAUUAUCCGUAAUGAUUAGCAGAAUACGAUGACUCAGUGGUUUGAGAGUUGAGAGAUAUCCUGAUAAAAAGGGCAAUCGGAUAAAAUUCAUUAUUCUGUAAAAAUGUUUUACUAGCUUUUAGUAUGCUAAAUUGUGUGUCAACAUGCUACAUAUUUUUUUUUCAUAUACAAAACCCAAAACCAGCAAAGUUGGCAAGUUGUGUAAUUCGUAAAAAAAAACAGAAUACAAUGCAAAUCCUUUUCAACUGCAAAGACAAAAUAUUUAAUGUUCGAACUGAGGAACUUCAUUUUUUUUUUUCAAAUAAUCAUAACUUAGAAUUUAAUGGCAGCAACAUAUUGCAAAAAAGUUGGCACAGUGGCAUUUUUACCACUGUUUUACAUGGCCUUUCCUUUUAACUACACUCAGUAAACGUUUGGGAACUGAGGAGACCGAUUUUUUAAGCUUUUCAGGUGGAAUUCUUUCCCAUUUUUGCUUGAUGUACAGCUUAAGUUGUUCAACAGUCCGGGGUCUUCGCUGGCGUAUUUUACGCUUCAUAAUGCACCACACAUUUUCAAUGGGAUACACGUCUGGACUAAAGGCAGGCCAGUCGAGUACCAGCACUCUUUUACUACAAAGCCACACUGUUCUAACACGUGGCUUGGCAUUGUCUUGCUGUAAUAAGAAGGGGCGUCCAUGAUUACGUUGCAUGAAUGACAACAUUUGUUGCUCCAAAACCUGUAUGUACCUUUCAGCCUUCACAAAUGUGUAAGUUACCCAUGUCUUGGGCACUAACACACCACCAUACCAUCACUUUGCAUCAGUCCAUCUGAGAUGAGCUCGGGCCCAGCGAAGCCGGCUGCGUUUAUGGGUUUUGUCAGUGACGUGCAGUCAGGGGAAGCAGGUGAGGCAGUGCCUCACGUGCCAUCCAUCCAUCCAUCCAUCCAUCCAUCCAUCCAUUUUCUACCACUUAUUCCCUUUCGGGGUCGCGCAUGGAAAGAAAAAAAAGUAAAAAGAAAAAAAAAUAAUUACAUUUUUAUAUGUAUCCAGUGAUUAUACUUUAUAAAGUUAUUUUCCAUUUAACUUGACCAGUUUUAGAUUAUUUUUAUUCAAAAUCGCUAAAUUUUCCCAUUUGCCGUUCAAAUAUUGAGAAGAGACUUGCGGUGAGUCAGCAGCCAGUUGAGACUCACCAUGGAUUGCGCAAUUACUCGGCUAACUGCUGGCUGCUAUGCAGUGAGACCGUAUUGCUAUAUAAAUUAUAUUAUACAUUUCCAUAAUUUAGUUAGCUGAGGUAUAUACAGUAAUGUACAGUGUAUUUUGUCAACAACUGUAUGUGUGUAACGUAUUUCUUGUGCUGAGCAAUCAUAAAACAGCUGCGAAGACGCACUAUGUGAGAAACGUAUUCUCCCGCCUCAUGGUGGUAGAGGGCGCUAGUGAUCCCAGGGAUCAUCCUUGUGACAACUCGGCUGCAGAAUAAGUCACAACAGGCUACAGUUAGCAAGUCAAGUGCAGUGGCAGCGAUCGUUUAUUUUUUCCUCUCUCCUGGACUUUAUAAAACAGUUUUCUAAACUGGACUUUUAAUCGAAGCAGGAGGAAAUAAUUAAAGGAAGACCAACGCCGAAGCUAAAAGGUUUGCUUCAGACAGUGAUCUCCAUCGAGACGGAGAGACUUUUAAACCAGAAGAAAGAUAAGGAAGACUUCUAUAAACAAGUUAUCGAUGCUUUUGUUCAGAAGGAGCGGCGCAUGGACUUCAUUUAUGAAUAAAGGUAAGACCAUUAUAACGUUGUUUUUUUUAAUUAAAUGUGCUUUUUUGUGUGCUACAGUUUGUAUGUGUAAAGAAUGCUGGUAUGAACUUUUAAUCAUAACCCGUUAACUGCUGCCAAUCAAAUGGUGAAUAAGAUACUCUUUAGGGUUCAUAUGUUUGUAAAGCUGACUGUGAAGAAGUCAGUGCCUCACCAGCCAUGAACCUCACCGCACGUCACUGGGUGUUGUUGAUAAAUGGCUUUCGCUUUUCAUAGCAGAGUUUCAACUUGUUCUUACAGAUGAAGCGAUCAACUGUAGUUACAGACAGUGGUUUUCUGAAGUGUUCCUGAGCCCAUGUGGUGAUAUCCUUUACACACUGAUGUCGGUUUUGAUGCAGUACCCACUGAGGGAUCCAAGGUCCGUAAUAUGAUUGCUUACGUUCAGUGAUUUCUCCAGAUUCCCUGAACCUUUUGGUGAUAUUAGGGACUGUAGCUGGUGAAAUCCCUAAAUUCCUUGCAAUAGCUGGUUGAGAAAUGUUUUUCUAAAACUGUUCGACAAUUUGCUUACAAAGUGGUGAUUCUCACCCCAGCUUUUUUGAAACAUGCAGGCAUGUUGCAGAUUAAAUGUCACCCGUAUUACAGGCAUCAAAUUCCGAAUGAGUUGUGGAGGGACGGAGCCGACAGCGGGCCAGGGCAAAUGGUGGUCCUGCCCAAGAUGGCGGCCAGGAGGCGGAGCAUGCAGCAGAGCGGAGAGGCGGGGCACGCCUGGAGCGACACUGCAGCCGUCAGAAUCAGGUGCGUACACAACACGCCUGUUCUCAAUCACUGCAUCUUCUGCUGCAGCAUAAAAGGGGAGAGGAAGGAGCAAUCGUGGCAGAAGUAGGAGAGGAACCACCCGACAACGAAGACCACGGGAGCGAUGAGAUCAACCCAGAGCGAGAUGCCACCCCGCGGACGACGCAGCCACCGGCCACUCGAAUGUGCGCCGCGAAGAGCAGGAAGAGCCGGCGCACUAGAAAUUGGCGCGAUAGACGGGCAAGAAGACAUGAUUGUUGAACUAAGAUAUCAGAGUCAAACCUGUUACGAUUCGCCUUGUGUCGAUCGGCACUGCAACCCACACGAGGACGACUGGAGACC